CUACAUUCUUAUACUUGGUCAUGGUAAAUUCGACCUACAAGACCAUGUCACUGACGUAUGUUUUAUCUUAAGAGGCAGAAUUUCCGAAAACGGUAGGGAGUCGCGCCUGAGACGCCAUCAAGGAAAGAUCAUUCGUUGCAUUUGGAAGCCAUUAUUAGAUACUGCAUCAGUCGCUGUCGCUGUGGAGUAACGCGCCAUUACUUCCUUCUUUCUCCUUAUUACUAGAACAUCCUUUUCCUUGGUCAUAUAAAAAACUCAGCGCAACUGCAGUGGAGUGGGGAGAGAAAGAAAGAAGAAGAACUACCAGUCUUCCACAUGGCGUAUAGUUCUUUGUCAUUCGUUCAGCGUUAUUGUUGGUUAUGAUUCAGAAGUCUUCGAAUGAAAAUCGUGGCAUUUAUAUCACAUCGUGUUUAUAUGUAACAAAUUGAUCCAGUGGUGAGAGAGCAUAUUUAAUUGCUUAUUACAAAAACAGCCUGUCAGAACUUGAUAACGAUCCUCACACAAUAAAUAUACCAGAUUUCGCAGUGGUGGAAUUUGAUGAGGGGUACGAAGUAAUACGUACAAGUUGGACAGUUUUCGAUGAGACUAACACGAUAACAGCGACCCUCUUUCCACCAGCUAAGACUCAUAAAGAAGUUGAUAAAAUAUUAGAAAGAAAUGUACAACCCGAUGAAUUUUGGGGUGACGAUAAUUGCGAUCAAUAGCCCAUUGAAAGGUUGUGUUGUUAUGCCGGUUGUUACGAAUUAGCACUGAAGAAAUUGCAAUUGUACAUGCAGUUAUUAGAGGUAAAUUGCAAUGACGCAGUAAUUUUGGAAAGUCUGAAGAAAACCAGGCACAUGCGUUGCGCCAACAAAUUUUCAGACGAAGAUUUGGGAAGUAAGAGGUCCGCUAAACCUAAGUCGACUAAAUUUCAAAUGAAAACGCCCUUCAUACUUGCCCCUGCCGCACAACCAAAAUUGAAGGAAAGCAAUAUACCAAUAAAAGUGGAUUCGAAUUUAUAAAAACUGCAACGAUGUACUCUAAGUUUAUGAUCAAUGGAUUUAAAAUAAUUUUUAGGAAUUGCAAAGUAUUUUAAAAGGUUUUAGGGAUUUUCGAAGUAUUUCAAUAUAUUUCAAGAGAUUUCACAGCACUUCCAAAUUAGUUGCAAAAAAGUUGAAAACGUCUUAAGGGAUUUCACAGAUUUUCUAAGGACAUCAGAUGAUUCAAGAAUAUUGCAAGGGAUUUCCAAGAAUCUUUUGAGACUACAUAGCCUAUGAAAGGAUUUUUAUGUAUUUCAGGUCAUUAUAGAAACCUUCACCGGAUAUUUCUAAUCUUCUAAAUGUUUAAAGUGGUUUCAAAGGGUUUCAACAAAUUUAUAGAGAACCCAAAGUAUUAAAAAAGAUUUUAUGAAAUGUAGAAGUAUUUCAAAAUAUUUCUAGGGAUAUUACAAGAUUUCAAAGGAUUUUGAGGGGUUUCGAAGGAUUUUUACUGAUUUAUAAACACUUGAAGGAGUUUCAUGAGGAUUUCUAGGGAUUGAAAAAUAUUUUGAGAUUUCAGUAUAACUGUAAGGAUUUCAAAGGAAAACAUCAAAGACGAGUUUGAAAGACAGCUCUCAUACAAUCCAAAUAAUCAAAUAAGAAAUAAUGAAAACACAUGGUCAUCAUCUCCUCCAAAUUGUGAACUCAAUUUUGAUGAAGAGAAGCAGUACAGUCAUAAAAGAAGUCAUACAGUCAUAAAAGAAAACAUACAAGAAGACAUAUCAGAUUGAAAAUACAAUCACUGUUUUGAAACUGUUGGUUAUUUUUAAUUACAAAUUAAGCGUAAAGUCAUAACACUUUUUUUUGCUUUGCAGUCAAUCCGUCACAAAUUUUAAUGCUAAAAAAAUGAACACAGUGGGAGUUCUGCUGGAAUCGCUAUGUCGUGACCGUGAGAAUAAUAGAAAUACAGGAGAAUUAACUAGUCGACUAUCUCUAACUUUCCAGAGCUAAGAUUUAAAAAUGCUUCCUGCAAAUAGCAAAGAAGAAAUCGAUAGCAUUGAGGAAAAGAUGUCGAGUAAAAAAUUCCACGCAAAAGUAGUGCAAGCACUUUGUAAAAUUGGAAAGCACACCUCUAUGAACAUGACUGCUGCAAAUUUACUAAAGCACGUUCUAACAUACGAAGCUGGACAGAAGUUUUCUUUCGAGGUAAGGUCACAAAAGAAAUCCACGUUCAAAAAUCUGAAGCUAUAUUCAGCUAUAAUGCUAUGGACAUUCUUUACCCUGAUGUAACUGCUAUCAUGGUGAAGAAAUGCGUCAGUGAAUGGUUAAGCCAAUGCAAGAAUCGACAAAAACGAACGCUGGACAGAGAAAAUAGGAAUGUAGAGAAGGAGCGCCGCAUGCACCUCGACUUGGAAGACGAUGAUGAGGAGGAAUAACAUAACUGGAUGAUUUCAGAAGACAGAGUUUUAAUUCGUUCAAGUUUAUGACAAAAAUGUAAAGGGUGAACAUUACAAAAUUGAAACUUGUGCAUAUUUGUAAUUAGAUAGAUUUAAAUUUAUUUCACUUCUUAUAUAUAAGUGCUUUCUAGUUGAAAGCUCUUGUUCUGUAACAUUUGAAUAUUUUUAUACAUUAUAUGUUUUAUAUAACUUUAAAAGAACGUUGAUAAUAUGCGUUAAACAUGUAUAAAAAUAUUUAGAUAUCUACAUAAAAUCAUGUAGACGAAAGAAACUAAGACCAACACAUGCAAUAUACAUGUAUAAAAAAAGCAAAUUCAGUUGGUUAUAACCGAAAGUCAGCUUAGUUGUUAAGUAACCGACCUUCGAGUUAGGAUUUUAUGUGAAAAAGUCGUCAAAUUUGAAAUUGUUCAUUUUUGAAGGCUUCUAUUUUGAAAUAAUAACUUUUAAGUCUCCUUUAUGUAUAAAUGUUAAAUUUUUAAAUAAGUUCUUAAAUAACUUUGCACACUUUGAAGAAAAAUAUUUCACCCAUUUCCUGUCGAUUAAAAUAAUUUAGUACCUCGAGGUUAGAAAAAAAAAUAGCGAUCAUAAUGAAUGUUAUUUUACUGCCUUUAAGAAUGAGCAAUUUUAAAUUGAAAACUUUUAUGCAAUAUUUUGAACUCAAAAAUGUUUAAAAGUAAAAUAUUUAAAAAUUUAAGCCAAUCACAAUUUCUAGUUAUUGAUCGAGUAAAUGGAAAUAGAUUCUUUCGGCUCGAGCGCAAUGCUAUCGCAUCCAUUUAAGAAAUUCGAAUAUGACUUUAAUUCAGAGUUUUUGUGGGGAUUUGAUUGCUUCCCGUCAAAAAAUAUUUACGAAAUUCUUAUUUUUACUUUGUCAGGAUUCAUUUGCUUUUUAGCCAAAAAAUGUCCCUUCAUUUGAUACAGAGCCUCUCAAGAUUCUUACGUUUGCUCUAUUAAAUGUAAGAAACAAUUUGCAUAUAACAAUAAAUAUUAUAUCGAAA